rnacentral:lncRNA from 1 species
AAAAAAUUAAAAAUCAUUUCUAAAAAGUAGAAAUUAAAAGGAGAAGAAUGAAAUUGGUCCCAUAAUUUUUGGACCAAUAAUGAGAGAGAUAUGAAUUUUUAAAACAAAAAGGAAUUAAAAGAAAUAAAAGGAAAUUAAAAUCAGAAUUUAAAAUGAUGGAAAAGCGUGGACCGUCUGAUGCACUUUCAUUAAUUGGCGUGGAUCAUCACGUGGCCAGGAAGCGCACGCUCACCAUACACCCUAGUCAAC